rnacentral:rRNA from 1 species
AUGGGCAGCGGCGCGAGGAGCUCGCGGCAGGGCAGCUCGACGAUUUGCGGCUCGAGCGGGAGGACUAGGCAUCUUCAGAUGCACGUGGAGGAGUCGCUCGAGGACGAGGACUCUGGCGCCGCCGGCCAGGGAGGAGUCGCUCGAGGGGUGGCGCUCAUGGUGCUGGUCCGUUGGGCUUCGGAUCCGUGGCUGUGCCAGUGUGAGAGGAGGUCAGGGAAUGAGAAGAAGAGGAGGGGCGUAGUGUGGCCUGCGCUAGCCGGCGGCGGAGCUCGCCGGCCGGAGGCGAGCGCCGAUGGAUCAGGCCCGAGAUCCACCCUGGCGGCUUCUGGCUGGGAGGAGAGAAGGACAUUUUUUAAACAUGUUUUUUUGGUUGACCCCACAUGUAACUGA